rnacentral:rRNA from 1 species
GACGGAGGAGGCCAGCGUUAUUCGGAAUUAUUGGGCGUAAAGGGUACGUAGGCGGCUGGUCAAGUCUGGGGUCAAAGGCCACAGCUCAACUGUGGGAAGGCCCUGGAAACUGGCCGGCUAGAGUGAGGUAGGGGUUGCGGGAAUUCCCGGUGUAGCGGUGAAAUGCGUAGAGAUCGGGAAGAACACCUGAGGCGGAAGCGCGCAACUGGGCCUCAACUGACGCUGAGGUACGAAAGCUAGGGGAGCGAAUGGG